rnacentral:rRNA from 1 species
AACGAACGCUGGCGGCAGGCCUAACACAUGCAGGUCGAACGGGUGUAGCAAUACAUCAGUGGCGCACGGGUGAGUAACACGUGGGAACGUGCCCUUCACUACGGGACAACGUCGGGAAACUGACGCCAAUACCGUAUAAUGUCUCCGGACCAAAGAUUUAUCGGUGAAGGAUCGGCCCGCGUCUGAUUAGCUAGUUGGUGAGGUAAUGGCUCCCCAAGGCGACGAUCAGUAGCUGGUUUGAGAGAAUGAUCAGCCACACUGGGACUGAGACACGGCCCAGACUCCUACGGGAGGCAGCAGUGAGGAAUCUUGGACAAUGGGCGCAAGCCUGAUCCAGCCAUGCCGCGUGAGUGAUGAAGGCCUUAGGGUUGUAAAGCUCUUUUGCCGGGGAUGAUAAUGACCGUACCCGGAGAAUAAGCCACGGCUAAAUUCGUGCCAGCCGCCGUAACAC